GGUGGCUCAGUGGUAGAGCGUUUGCCUCACAUGCAUGAGGUCCUAGGUUCAAUUCCUCAGCACCA
rnacentral:tRNA from 1 species